rnacentral:lncRNA from 1 species
GUUCAGUCAAGCCACAGUUCCAGAGCUCGAUGGCCACAGGUGGCUCCUGUGUCUACGAGACAGGCAGAGGGCCAGGCUAGUGCUGCACCAUGCAUUCAGGAAGGGAGCAGGAACCUCCUCUCUUCAUUCUCUACCCUUCUCUCUGGAAUCUCAUGGGAAUCUCCUCUCGGUGACUGUUCUUAUUGCCACGUGAACAACGGACCAAGGAGGAUGGAGGGGAGAAAAGAGACUUGACAGUUUCCUGCCCCAGCUGGAAACAGAUGGCUCACUUAAACUGGAUAAUUUGAAGAGCAUGAAUAGAGGAAUUGUUUACAGAGUUGUCACAGGAUACAGGAAUCAAAAAGACAGUGAUGUUUCCACAGGCUGGCAAAAUCUGGAAGCCCACCCUUGUGAGAAGAGAGAAGCCAGGACCCCUGGUGAGGGGAUCAUGCUGAGCCCCUACACAGCUGCAGGCGGAGGACUGGUCGUGAAGGAAAGGUGGACCUUGUGAUUAGAGGUUUGGGGCUUGGAGCCAGGUGAUAUCAGCCUGACCCCCAGGGAGGGCGGGGGCUGGAGCUGGAGUUUGAUCACCUGGCAAUGACUCCCAUCAAUCACACCCAUGGAAUGAAGCCCCAGUAAGAACUCUGGCCACCGAGGCUCAAGGA